CAGCCGCCACGGUAAUACGAAGGGGGCUAGCGUUGUUCGGAUUUACUGGGCGUAAAGCGCACGUAGGCGGACUUUUAAGUCAGGGGUGAAAUCCCGGGGCUCAACCCCGGAACUGCCUUUGAUACUGGAAGUCUUGAGUAUGGUAGAGGUGAGUGGAAUUCCGAGUGUAGAGGUGAAAUUCGUAGAUAUUCGGAGGAACACCAGUGGCGAAGGCGGCUCACUGGACCAUUACUGACGCUGAGGUGCGAAAGCGUGGGGAGCAAACAGGAUUAGAUACCCCUGUAGUCCCUGUCUCUUAUAC
rnacentral:rRNA from 1 species